CCUACGGGGGGCAGCAGUAGGGAAUCUUCCACAAUGGGCGCAAGCCUGAUGGAGCAACACCGCGUGAGUGAAGAAGGGUUUCGGCUCGUAAAGCUCUGUUGUUGGAGAAGAACGUGCGUGAGAGUAACUGUUCACGCAGUGACGGUAUCCAACCAGAAAGUCACGGCUAACUACGUGCCAGCAGCCGCGGUAAUCCGUAGGUGGCAAGCGUUAUCCGGAUUUAUUGGGCGUAAAGCGAGCGCAGGCGGUUGCUUAGGUCUGAUGUGAAAGCCUUCGGCUUAACCGAAGAAGUGCAUCGGAAACCGGGCAACUUGAGUGCAGAAGAGGACAGUGGAACUCCAUGUGUAGCGGUGGAAUGCGUAGAUAUAUGGAAGAACACCAGUGGCGAAGGCGGCUGUCUGGUCUGCAACUGACGCUGAGGCUCGAAAGCAUGGGUAGCGAACAGGAUUAGAUACCCGGGUAGUC
rnacentral:rRNA from 1 species